rnacentral:rRNA from 1 species
AGAGUUUUUCCUGGCUCAGGUCGAACGCUGGCGGCGUGCCUAAUACAUGCAAGUCGAGCGGACCGGGCGGAAGCUUGCUUCCGCUUGGUUAGCGGCGGACGGGUGAGUAACACGUGGGUAACCUGCCCGUAAGACCGGGAUAACUCCGGGAAACCGGAGCUAAUACCGGAUAACACCGAAGACCGCAUGGUCUUCGGUUGAAAGGCGGCUUCGGCUGCCACUUACGGAUGGGCCCGCGGCGCAUUAGCUAGUUGGUGAGGUAACGGCUCACCAAGGCGACGAUGCGUAGCCGGCCUGAGAGGGUGACCGGCCACACUGGGACUGAGACACGGCCCAGACUCCUACGGGAGGCAGCAGUAGGGAAUUUUCCGCAAUGGACGAAAGUCUGACGGAGCGACGCCGCGU